rnacentral:rRNA from 1 species
UACGUAGGGCGCAAGCGUUGUCCGGAAUUAUUGGGCGUAAAGAGCUCGUAGGCGGUUUGUCACGUCGGAUGUGAAAGCCCGGGGCUUAACUCCGGGUCUGCAUUCGAUACGGGCAGACUAGAGUGUGGUAGGGGAGAUCGGAAUUCCUGGUGUAGCGGUGAAAUGCGCAGAUAUCAGGAGGAACACCGGUGGCGUAGGCGGAUCUCUGGGCCAUUACUGACGCUGAGGAGCGAAAGCGUGGGGAGCGAACAGG